AUUUAAGUAGUUUAUAAAAAACAAUGAUUUGUGGUGUCAUAGAUAUAUAAAAUUAUCUUAAAUU
rnacentral:tRNA from 1 species